AGUGAACGCUGGCGGUAGGCCUAACACAUGCAAGUCGAACGGCAGCACAGUAAGAGCUUGCCCUUACGGGUGGCGAGUGGCGGACGGGUGAGGAAUACAUCGGAACCUACUUUUUCGUGGGGGAUAACGUAGGGAAACUUACGCUAAUACCGCAUACGACCUACGGGUGAAAGCAGGGGAUCUUCGGACCUUGCGCGAUUGAAUGAGCCGAUGUCGGAUUAGCUAGUUGGCGGGGUAAAGGCCCACCAAGGCGACGAUCCGUAGCUGGUCUGAGAGGAUGAUCAGCCACACUGGAACUGAGACACGGUCCAGACUCCUACGGGAGGCAGCAGUGGGGAAUAUUGGACAAUGGGCGCAAGCCUGAUCCAGCCAUACCGCGUGGGUGAAGAAGGCCUUCGGGUUGUAAAGCCCUUUUGUUGGGAAAGAAAAGCAGCAGGUUAAUACCCCGCUGUUCUGACGGUACCCAAAGAAUAAGCACCGGCUAACUUCGUG
rnacentral:rRNA from 1 species